GCCUCCCCUCCGCUCCUUGGGUUUAGCGUCAGAUACUAUUCUCGUGUCCGCACUUCUCUGUUCUGGACGCACAGCCGAUGGUGACCCAGAGCUCCAUGACUGGCUAAAAUGAGUGAAGAAUGCGCCUCUGCUCCGCACAGGUUCUAUUCGCAUCCACUUCUUUGGUUAUUUUGUAUCUUUUCGAUUCCAGUUAUUCUGAGAGGUACUUCCAAUUCUCCAGAUUAAUUGGCCGAAAACCAUUUAAUCGUGUAACAUUUAUCUUUUCUUAGAAGAAACGUGGAAACAAGUUUUGUCUGCUGUUCUAGUAGCGGAUGUUCAUAAGUUGCUAAAUUGUUUCAACUUAACAUAGAUGUUGAUACAUAUUGCAGAGCAGACUUCCUGGGAGGAACCCAGAGUUAACUUUUUCUGUGCAGGACUGGGCUGUGUGCUUAGGGAGCAGGGGGAGCCUGGGCGGCUCUGACACACGCUGGUGCUGAGGGCGGCUGUGCCAGAGGGCAGUGGGGGUCCGGCAGGCUGAUAAUGGAACACUCCGCAGAGCUUUGGUUCUCCCCGAAGGUUAAUGGGGGGUUUUAUAGAGCCUGACAGUGGCAGCCUUUAGUGCCACCCCAAUAUCUCAUGUGACACUAGAAGGUUCACAUGAAAGAGAUUUUAGGGUACAAGGUAGAAAGGCUUUUGGAAGAGGGCGGCCAGAAUGGAAUCCUUUUCAGACCCCCAAACUGUGGUGGCAGCAUUGCCUCUUAAGCGCCCCGGCACUUCUCCCAUGCUCCCAAGAUGCCAGUGCUUUGCUUCAGGUUAAUCGAGGCAACAUGGCAUAAUGAGGCUACAUCCUCUAUGUGGAUUAAAAGGGCCCAUUUCUAAGUCUUAGUGCUACAGCAGAGGAUAUUGGUCAAGAUCACAAACUCUGGCACCUGACCGCCUGACCAGCUGAGAACACACCCUGUCUGCAUGGCUGGCUAGCUAGAUGCCCCUGGCAUGGGCCUCUCUGUCUGUCCCUCAGUUUCUUUGUUUCUAAAGUUGGGGGACCGCAAAGCCUGUGUCCGACUUGUUGCGAAGGUGUGACUGUGUGCUGAGGACAGUCCCCGGCACUGGGGAAGCGCUCUCAAGCCUGUGUCCGCCUGCAGUCGCAAGGUUCAGGGCACGUGUUGGACAGUGUGCUUGGUAUUUCAAAUCUUUAGAAGUUCAAGAUCAAUGAUCGCGUUCAGCUGAGAAUAUUUAAUAGGUACCUAUUAUUUUCAAGGUAGGGUAGGAAGUAGCAGGCCCUGCUCUUAAAGAUGAUCGCAGAACUGGGGAGUCCAAGGCAGAGGGGUGUUAGUUUGAGCUUUAGGACGUUUAGGCUGUAACAUUUACAACAGGCUGGAACAGCAAGUUGGGGCAGGACACAGAGUCGCCCUUCAGCCCUGGACAGAAAGCCCAUCAAGGGUUCUUGAGUUAGGACGUGGAUGGCGGUGGCCCAGGCUGACCUUGAGAGUGGUUCAUUGGGCAGGAGCGUAGGGCGAGUGGGCAGUUGUCUAGAGAGGACGAUGGGAUAGAGAAGAGGGGCCGUUUUCAAACACGGAUCCAAAGGCGGGACCAAGAGACUUGGCCCUCAAUGGGUGAGGAAGGGGAGAUGCAGAAAUGGAUGGAGAGGAAGAUGUGCCAAGGUCAAGGGAACAGGAAGUCAGCUGAGAGCCUGAGCGUGAGGAAGGAGCCGCAGGCUGUGCGAGGCCCAAUUCCGUUCCUGUGCAGGGCGCUGGGAACGCGGUGGGGCUGUGCAGCGUGCUGAGGGUUACAGCGCACGCGCGCGUUGCUGGCGCCAGCUUUUCAUUAGUUUCUGGGUUAGCUUAGCUUUCCUCUACUGUGUCGUGACAUCCUGCAGUGAGCUUUGUGUAAAAAAAUAGUUAGGACCUUUAAUAAUGGCUUAUCUUUCUACUUUUAAAGCUUGGUUCAUACGCUCCAAGAAACAUUAACAGCUGCCAGGCAGUAAUUAACCUGUAGACGUGGUGUUCAGGUUCUCCAUAAAAGCAAAAGAAAGAUCUAGAUCACGCAUCGAGAAUGUUAAAGUGAGCGAAAUUCAAUGGGGAUAUGUUUACAUGGUACCUAGUACUGAGAAUUUCAAGUCAUAGUAUGUCCAACCGCAGAGAACUUUCUGGAGAGUUCUUGGUCCUCUCUUUUACGGAGGACUGUCUUGGCUGCAGACACUUACGCCUCGCCCAGGCUGGUUCACUGGAGAGGAGCCUGGGUGACUUCCCAGCUGGAAGGUGACCAACCAGAAGUCCAUAUGUAGCCUGAGCUUUACAUGCGGCUGAACCUGAAGCUCACGAGGCACCUGUGCCCCUCUCGGCACGACUUCCCCACGUCGCCCACUCUCCGGCUGGACCUCCAGUGGAGGCCUCGGGCAGCCCCUGCAGAAAUUGUCCUGCAGCCCAGGUUCCAGCGGGAAGGAAGCUUGUCUUUCCCGGCAGCCCCAGCAAAGUCCUGGGGUUGAGUGGCAUUGGUCCAGUUAGGGUCCUGUUCUCAUGUCCCCAUCCCUGAACGAGCUACCGAGGAGGGAUGUGGAACUCACAGAAGCACCAGGCCCGGGACACGUAGCCGCCACUGGCAGGGAGCAGAGGACUGCAGCGUGGGGUGGGCAGCCCACAGAUCGGGAGUGGGGAGGGCGGAGCAUCAAGGAAAAUCGGGAUCGAGGUGCCGUCUUCAGACAGGGGGGGAUGGGUGCCAGCAGGCAAAAGCGUACGCCGCACGUCCGCCUCAAAACAGUGCUAUGUAGCUGCGAACACAGUCCAGUUCACCGAAAAAUCAUGGCAUAAAAAACGUCACUCAUCCCACACGUAAACACCUCCUGGGAGGCGGUCGCUCAGCCAGGCUCCAGGUCCUCGUCUCUGCGCUCGGCACUCCGUCUGCAGCUCUGCUGUCCUGUCUCCGGGUGUGCAGUUUCAUUUAGCAGGGAUCACUCUGCUGGAGGUUAAAAAGCCUCUUUUUCUCCUUUAGUUUUAUAUAAUUUAUUAACUUACUGGUUGUAUUAGUUUCUUAACUAAGAAAAAAAAAACCAACUUUGUAUUUGCAUCUUUGUACAAAGUACCCCAAAACUAAGUGACUUAAGACAACAAAAACUUAUUCUAGAGGCUAGAAUUCCGAAAUCCAGGUGCGGGCAGGGCCGUGCUCCCUCAGAGGCUCUAGGGAAGGGUCUGCCUGCCUCUGCCAGCUUCUGGUGCUUUCCAGCAAUCCUUGGCAUCCCUGGUUUGUGGGCAUCUCACGCCAUGCUGUCCCAUGGCCUCUCCCUGUCCGCGUGUGUAUCCGUGUCUCUUUUCUUGUAAGGACACCAGUCAUUGGUGUAGGGCCCACCCGAUUCCACCGCGACCUCACCUUAACUUUGUGUUUACAGAGACCCUGUUUCUAAAUUAGAUCACGUUCACAGGAAGACUUCAGCAUCUUUUGGGGCACACGGUUCAACCCACAACACUGUCAAACUUCGCGGACCUAUAUUUGGGAAAAGUCAAGAUAACUUAAACGAUACCAAACAGGCCCAGUGAACAGAAUGCCCCACAAAAUCGGAUUCGUCGUCGUCAGCUCGUCUGGACACGAGGAUGGCUUCAGUGCCCGGGAACUGAUGAUCCACGCCCCGACCGUCAGCGGGUGGCGGUCACCAAGGUUUUGCCAGUUUCCGCAGGAAAUCGUCCUUCAGAUGGUGGAGCGGUGUCGCAUCAGGAAGCUGCAGCUGCUGGCUCACCAGUACCUGAUUUCCAGCAAGGUCGAGUUCUACAUCAGCGACAGCCUGCCCGAGUAUUUCAUGCCGUAUCAAGCCGAGCGGUUCCGAAGACUCGGCUACGUCUCUCUCUGCGACAACGAGAAGACGGGCUGCAAAGCCCGGGAGCUGAAGUCGGUGUAUGUGGACGCGGUGGGUCAGUUCCUUAAACUGGUCCUUCACCAGAACCACGCCAACAAAUACAACGUGUACAAUCAGGUUGCUUUGGUUGCGAUAAACAUCAUUGGAGACCCUGCAGAUUUCAGUGAUGAAAGCAAUAUUGCCUCUAGAAAGAAGCUGAUCGACCAUUAUAUAGGGCACAACUCGGAGGACCCCGCGCUGGAAGGGACCUGCACCGGGAAAUCCGACUACAUCUCUCCACUGGACGACUUGGCUUUUGACAUGUACCAGGACCCCGAAGUCGCUCAGAUCAUACGCAGAUUGGAUGAGAGGAAGCGGGAGGCCGUGCAGGAGGAGCACUACGACUACGCCAAGAAGCUGAAGCAGGCCAUCGCCGACCUGCAGAAGGUCGGCGAGCGGCUCGGCAGGUACGAGGUGGAGAAGCGCCGGGCCGCGGAAGAGGAGGACUACGACCUGGCCAAGGAGAAGCAGCAGCAGAUGGCGCAGUUCCGCAGCAGGGUGUACGAGCAGCUGCAGCUGCACAGCCUGCUGGACGCCGAGCUGAUGCGACGGCCUCUUGCUCUGCCUCUCCAGCCCCUCGUUCGUUCUGGCAGUCCCCGUCACCAGCAGCCAGCGCGCUCCCCACCGCAGGGGGAGAGAGUGACAGAGAACCGGCCUGCAGAGCCUUUCCUCCCGGACCAGCUCUCGGCGCAGCCUCCAGACGCUUCUCCGCAGCACCGCACCGCAGACCAGUCCCCGCCCGCCCCGCACCCGCGUCUCAGGACCCGCCUGGAGGCCCUGCCCUACGACGAGCGGCCUCUCCCCGCUGUCCACAAGCCGCCGGGGGUCGCAGCCGUGGAGCCAGAGAAGAGUGAUGCGGAGGUCAGCGAGGCGCCCAGAGGGGGCGCUGCAGGCGAGCCGGAGCCGCUGACCGAGAAGGCCCUGAGGGAAGCCAGCGCGGCCGUGGACGUGCUGGGAGAGACGCUGGUCGCGGGGGCCUACUCCAGGACGUGGUCGCACCGGGAGGCCGCCCUGCUCGCCUUGCACAAGCGGCUGAUGGAGGCGCCUGUGGGGACCCCGAAGGAAGACCUGCGGGGCCUGCUGCGGGCGGCCGUCUUCCUCAUCCGACGAGCCAUCAGAGACAUCGUGACCCCGGUCUUUCAGGCUUCUUUAAAGUUGUUGAAAAUGGUGAUCACACAAUAUAUUCCUAAACACAAACUGGGCAAGCUCGAGACAAUGCACUGCGUGGAAAGAACGAUCCCCGUGUUGCUCACCAGAACGGGAGACUCUUCUGCUCGUCUCCGGGUUGUGGCUUCAAAUUUUAUUCAGGAGAUGGCCUUGUUUAAGGAAGUUAAGUCUCUCCAAAUGAUUCCCUCUUACUUGGUCCAGCCAUUAAAAGCGAACGCUCCCACUCACCUGGCCACGAGUCGGAUGGAGCUCCUGGCCCGGCUGCUCAAAGACCUGGGCACCGAGGGCUCGGGCUUCACCGUGGAUGACGUGAUGAAGUUCGCGGUGGGCGCCCUGGAGCACAGAGUGUACGAGGUCCGGGAGACGGCGGUCCGCGUGAUCCUGGACAUGUACGAGCAGCACCGGGCUCCUGUGCUGGACUACCUGCCCCCAGACGACUGCGCUGCACGCAGGAACGUGCUCUACAAAACGCUCUUCGAGGGCUUCGCCAAAAUAGAGGGCAGGCCCACAGAUGCCGAAGUGAGGGCACAGAAAAAAGCGGCUACAGAGGAAGCAGAAAAACGGAAGAAAGAAGAAAUUAAAGUUUUGCAAGGGCAGUUGGCAGCGCUGACAGAAACGCAGGCGGGAGUCGUGGGCGAGGACAAAGGAAGCCAGGCCACGAAAGCAGAGAAGCCAGAUGCUCAGAGGCGGGAAGCGGCCCCACCUAAGGCUCCGGAAGUCCCAGACGAUCACUGUCUGGACAAUUUGUGCAUUUUUUGCGGGGAACGGAGCGACUCCUUCACAGACGAAGGCCUGGACCUCCACUACUGGAGGCACUGCCUCAUGCUGACGCGGUGCGACCACUGCAGACAGGUGGUGGAGAUAGCCAGCCUGACGGAGCACCUGCUGACAGAGUGCGACAGAAAGGACGGGUUCGGGCAGUGUUUCCGCUGCAGCGAGGCCGUGUUAAAGGAUGAGCUGCCCAGUCACGUGAGAGCGAAAGACUGCAGCCCUGCCAAACCAGAGAAGCUGGCAAACCGCUGUCCUUUGUGCCACGAGAACUUCGCACCUGGAGAGGAGGCCUGGAAAGCCCACCUGAUGGGCCCCGCGGGCUGCGCCAUGAACCUGCGGAGGACACAUGUGCUGCGCAGGGCGCCCGCUCCCACGCCCGAUGUAGAACACCUUACAAGACCAUGGUUGUUUUCACCAGAAGAUUGUUCCUGACCAGAAGACCUGGGGUGUGCUGCCCACUUUCAGGUAGAAGCCCAGCCGUGACCAAGUCCGGGACCUCGGCAAAGGUCGGGAGCAAGAUUCCCACCCCGAGGGGCGGCCUAAGCAAAAUCUCCAGCAGGACGUACACCAAGCGAUGACACGCCGACCUCCGUCUCCUCCGUCGCCACACGGGACUGAGCGGGCGUCCCGAGUGGGACCCUCUUCUCCUGGAAGCCACCCUUGGUGUGAUCGCCCCGCUAAUUAUAGUGCUCACCUGUCACCGGCAAACAUCGCGACGCCAUCGACUGUUCUUGCCCUUCACCCCUCCCGCCACUCCUGGGCAUUAUUUUCUAAUCCGUUUCUGAAGUGCAGAUGA